AACGAACGCUGGCGGCAUGCCUAACACAUGCAAGUCGAACGAGACCUUCGGGUCUAGUGGCGCACGGGUGCGUAACGCGUGGGAACCUGCCCUUAGGUUCGGAAUAACUCCCCGAAAGGGGUGCUAAUACCGGAUAAUGUCUUCGGACCAAAGAUUUAUCGCCUUUGGAUGGGCCCGCGUUGGAUUAGCUAGUUGGUAGGGUAAAAGCCUACCAAGGCGACGAUCCAUAGCUGGUCUGAGAGGAUGAUCAGCCACACUGGGACUGAGACACGGCCCAGACUCUUACGGGAGGCAGCAGUGGGGAAUAUUGGACAAUGGGCGAAAGCAUGAUCCAGCAAUGCCGCGUGAGUGAUGAAGGCCGUAGGGUUGUAAAGCUCUUUUACCCGGGAUGAUAAUGACAGUACCGGGAGAAUAAGCUCCGGCUAACUCCGUG
rnacentral:rRNA from 1 species